rnacentral:rRNA from 1 species
ACGUCUACAUUAGACUACCCGGUAGUCCCAGCCGUAAACUAUGCGCGUUAGGUGUAUCGGUGACCACGAGUUACCGAGGUGCCGAAGGGAAACCGUGAAACGUGCCGCCUGGGAAGUACGGUCGCAAGGCUGAAACUUAAAGGAAUUGGCGGGGAGCACCACAACAGGUGGAGCCUGCGGUUUAAUUGGACUCAACGCCGGGAAGCUCACCGGAUAGGACAGCAGAAUGAUUGCCGGGCUGAAGACUCUGCAUGACUAGCUG